rnacentral:rRNA from 1 species
GACGAACGCUGGCGGCGUGCUUAACACAUGCAAGUCGAACGGAAAGGCCCUGCUUUUGUGGGGUGCUCGAGUGGCGAACGGGUGAGUAACACGUGAGUAACCUGCCCUUGACUUUGGGAUAACUUCAGGAAACUGGGGCUAAUACCGGAUAGGAGCUCCUGCUGCAUGGUGGGGGUUGGAAAGUUUCGGCGGUUGGGGAUGGACUCGCGGCUUAUCAGCUUGUUGGUGGGGUAGUGGCUUACCAAGGCUUUGACGGGUAGCCGGCCUGAGAGGGUGACCGGCCACAUUGGGACUGAGGUACGGCCCAGACGCCUACGGGAGGCAGCAGUGGAGAAUAUUGCGCAAUGGGCGGAAGCCUGAUGCGACAGCGCCGCGUGCGGAAUGACGGCCUUCGGGUUGUAAACCGCUUUCGCCUGUGACGAAGCGUGAGUGACGGUAAUGGGUAAAGAAGCACCGGCUAACUACGUG